rnacentral:rRNA from 1 species
CACGGAGUUAGCCGGUGCUUCUUCUGCGGGUAACGUCAAUCGACGCGGUUAUUAACCGCAUCGCCUUCCUCCCCGCUGAAAGUACUUUACAACCCGAAGGCCUUCUUCAUACACGCGGCAUGGCUGCAUCAGGCUUGCGCCCAUUGUGCAAUAUUCCCCA